rnacentral:lncRNA from 1 species
GCAGCCCUCAGCCCUCCCUCUCAGCACAGCCGGGAUCGCCGGUGCUCUCUGGAGACAGCCUGACCCCUCAGCAUCACUCAGAGGCCGGUUUUGACAGCUCUGCAUUGACCAGGACAAGGGGCUCCCAGCCCGCCAGCGCCUAGAUGGGCAGCACCUCCUGGACGUCCCCCUGGGCCAUGCGAGCCACCCCCCUGGGGGCCAGCACAGAUGCUGCGGUGGACACAAUGCCUCCUGCCCAAGGUCGGUCCCCCGUCGCCCCCACCCAACAUCCUGGUUGCAAGUGAGGGGCCCCUACCCAGACCCCAUCCCGUUCUCUGCUCUGGACCC